UACGUAGGGGCCUAGCGUUGUCCGGAUUUAUUGGGCGUAAAGAGCUCGUAGGCGGUUCGGUAAGUCAGGUGUGAAAUCUCCACGCUCAACGUGGAGGCGCCACCUGAAACUGCCGUGACUCGAGUCCGGUAGGGGAGUGUGGAAUUCCCGGUGUAGCGGUGAAAUGCGCAGAUAUCUGGAGGAACACCGGUGGCGAAGGCGGCAUCCUGGACCAAUAUUGACGCUGAGGAGCGAAAGCUAGGGGAGCAAACGGG
rnacentral:rRNA from 1 species